CCCUUAGAUGUUCUGGGCCGCACACGCGCUACAAUGGCAAAGUCAACGAGCUUAUCCUAUGCUGACAAGCACAGGCAAUCUUUUCAGUCUUUGUCGUGAUGGGGAUAGACCCUUGUAAUUAUUGGUCUCCAACGAGGAAUUCCUAGUAAACGCAAGUCAUCAACUUGCAUUGAUUACGUCCCUGCCCUUUGUACACACCGCCCGUCGCACCUACCGAUUGAAUGGUCCGGUGAAGUCUUCGGACCGAUGCUGACUCGUUGGCAACGGAAAGUUGAGUAAACCUUACCAUUUAGAGGAAGGUGAAGUCGUAACA
rnacentral:rRNA from 1 species